AUGAAGGGGCGGUUGGGAGCUCAGAAAGGUUCUACGGCUGCUUGUGCAGAGAGCCCCUCUACACCCAAGAAUCCCAUUGUGGAAUUGAUAGACAGCGAUGAUGGUGCAUUUGACAAGAUCGCUGGCAUGGGAAGAGUCACCAGGAGCGCUGCUGCCAAGGGUUUAUCCCCACUUGCUGGAAUAGUGGCCCGUGGAGUUGGUGCUGCUAGGAAGGAUCCUGCUUUGGAUUCUGGCAAUGUUACAAGCACGAAGCGUGAGCCCAGAGCUCCUAUAAAUUUUUGCUCCCCUGUGCAGCAGCUUCACCCUCAUAAAUUCCCACACCUGGACAAGGCUCGCAAGUUGUAUAAUCUGCUGCUUAGUGAUGAAUGGCGUGAGAAGUAUGCCGAGAAUGCAUUCUCAAUGAUACCUCAGCCUGAUGAUAGUGUAACUAGCUUCACUGGGAAAUGCAUCUGGGAAGUUUUUGCACCUGGGCAAAUGAUGGAGGGUGAUCUAAUGGACUUCCUCAUUGCUGAUUGGAAGAAAGAUCCCGAUAGAAAUGCUGAUUUUGCGUCUGGAAAAAGGGUAUUGCUGAGUCCAUAUUUCAUCAUGGUUGUGCUUGACUGUACGUUUUACGGUGAUGAAAAUUAA
rnacentral:rRNA from 1 species